AGCUCACUGCUGGGCCCUGCUGAGUCCUUUCUAUACAUCAUCUUUGAUUGGAUUGGCUACAGUCUCAGUGUCUUGUCCGAGUCUGAAAACUGAGCACCACAGGAAGCUGGGAGCAUCUUUGCCAGUUUCUGGAACAUUUGCUACUGAGAUGAGAGUCCAUUGAGUGUCUAGAAAAACUCUACAGGGCAGCAGUCAAUCAUUUGAUGACAUAGGGAACAAGAACCUGAUACUGAAUGACUGAAUAUGGAAAUUAAGAAGUGAUCUAACCACUGGAAGUUAAGCAAGCAAACGUCCGGAAGUUGCCACAGAAGAUCUCAUCCUGAGACACAGAAGUGAG
rnacentral:lncRNA from 1 species